GAUGAACGCUGGCGGCGUGCUUAACACAUGCAAGUCGACCGGAAAGGCUCCUGCUUGCAGGGGUACUCGAGUGGCGAACGGGUGAGUAACACGUGGGUGAUCUGCCCUGCACUUCGGGAUAAGCCUGGGAAACUGGGGCUAAUACCGGAUAGGACCACAUUAUGGAUGGGGUGGUGGAAAGAAUUUCGGUGUGGGAUGAGCUUGCGGCCUAUCAGCUUGUUGGUGGGGUAAUGGCCUACCAAGGCGUCGACGGGGAGCCGGCCCGAGAGAGCGUACGGACACAUUAGACCUGUGCUGCAGGCCAGAGUACGACAGCUGCCAGAAUUGGCGAAUACUUGACGAUGCGACCAAGCCUGAUGGAGCGAGGCCGCGUGAGCGUUGAAGGCCUUUAGGUUGUAAGCUCAUUUCGCUAAGGAACAAGCGUUUUUGUGACGGUACCUAGAGAAAAAGCCACGGCUAACUACGUG
rnacentral:rRNA from 1 species